AUGUGUGGGUGUGAACUGAGGAGAAGGUAGAAGCAGAAGGUUUUAGAUGAAAGCAACUGCAGUAACAACUGAAGUAGUAGCAGGAGCCAUGACAGCCCUCAGCAGCAGUGGCUAUAAAAUGGCAGCAGCUUAAUUUUGACAGAGCAGAAGGACCCCUUUGAGAUGGUUCAGAGGGAAUUAAGAAGAGAAUACAAGUCUGACUUUCUGCUUAUUUUUAAGGAAUGACUGGGUGUGCCCAUAAAUAAAGCUGGAUGUCUGUAUUGAGUGCUAUCCACUCCACCCCAUUCUGUGACCAUUUGAUCACCGCUCACAGAAUGGUUCCCCUGGGCUGCUGCUGGCUGCCUACCUACUCCAUCGCCAUGUGGCUGGCUCAUUACUAGGUACAGAGGGGUUGGUUGGUUUGUGGUUUGGGUUACACCAAGGCCGUCCUUAGGCAUACGCAGCAGCAUAGAGCACCACUAAAUUUGGGGCACCACCGCUGGGACAGAACAGCAAGCAGAGGACAGAAGCGACUUUAUGUGUACAAAGUGCAAGCUGGUCUCCAUAUUGGAAGA